AUUUUUCCGCAAGGCAAGAUAGUCGAAUAUCAGGUUUAGUUAUUCGAAUAACCUAAUGACUGAUUCCCUAAAGUUAGUCGACUAUCAAUCCAGUUAUUCGAAUAACCUCAACAGAUUUUGAAAUAUUGUUUAAAUUAAGAAGCAAGUGAUUAAAUUUGUUUACCACACUGAUUUGUAGAAAAUUAAUCUACAUAAUGUAUUUAAGCAACUUUUGCAAACACACUCGUAAUGUACUUAACAACUAACGUACGUACAUGACAUUUCAACUUGAAACAUUGUACCCUAUACAGAGAUAUUAUUAACACAGUGUACUGUCACAUGUCUGCAUUGGCUUAUAAAUGUACACUUCUANNN
rnacentral:lncRNA from 1 species